rnacentral:lncRNA from 1 species
GGUAGAAUACAUCAAACUUUAUGCCUUUCCCUUCUCUCUUAACCGGAAAGCAUGGAACCAAUGCACAAUACCUUUUUAAGGAAAUAUUUCUCCCAAUGAAGAUGGAUCGGUACAUCAAGGACAUUGGGAACCUUGUGCAGAGGGAGCAAGAAAGCCUACUUGAAGCUUUGAAAAUAUUGCAAGAGAUGAUUAGAAGAUGUCUGCAUCAUGGGUUUUCUCAACAAAGGCUAGUUCGCAUUUUUUGUGGUGGAGUGUCC